UUCACUUGUUUUAUGUUUAUCAGCUGAUUCCUGCCAUAACAACACGGGAUUUCGGAUCAACCGUACGCCCCUCCGUGUUCGUGCCGUGUCAGUGACGUUUACACGAAAUUGUGAAAUUUUAUUUACUUUAAAAAGAAAAUAUUAUUCAUAUCGAAAAGACAUGAAGAUCUCGACAUUUAAAUGAAAUUUGAGAUAAAGUCGAGAAGGCGGCUUUUGUAUAUUUCUAAAUUUUAUAUUUCGAAGUGUUCCCCGCCCGUUCUCUCAACGUAGCCUAUUUAGGUACAAAGUGAGGUUCAUCAUAACAGCAAAUUGUAUCUGCUUAUUUUUACUCCUUAUAAUGGAAGUUACAUCAAACUCACUGUCAACAGACAAAGAUGACUCCUCAGAUGAUUUCUUUUACAGACGGUAUGGUUCUGUGAGGCCAUGGAAUUAGAAGCAAGUUGUAUGUGCUUUCUAGUAAUGAUUACAUAGGUGUGAUUCUCUUGUGCCCAAGAACUCUAACAUCAUAUGGCAUUGUUUCCUGUGCAUGCUCAUUUCCUCUUGAGUGUGUGUACUGGAUUCAGUUCAAAUUUGGUCUUGAGUGUCAUUUUUGGACUUCUUUUUUUUUUUGUCAUAAUUUUUGUACUUUUACACAGACUCUGCAUUUUAUAAGUGUACAGAGCUUUAAAUGUACAAAAUCUGUGAUGUCUAAUCACAUUAUAUAUGGUUAUAUUGAUUUUGAUGGGUCACUGAUAUCUUUUGCAUGUGAAAAUUAGGAAUACUGUAUUUGGAUAUACAUAUUGAUUUUCCCAGAUCCUGUCUUUUUCCCUAGUAGAAUUUUACUCUAGCAGUCACCUCAGACUCUGGAAUCCUUAUUGUUUGUACUCUUAAUUAUGUGGAAUUUUGAAUGUGGACCUUAAGUUUGAUUUUUUGUGUUUUGUUGGUUAGGUAAAUGUGUAUCACAUUCUCCCAGCUGUACGAUAUCAGUAGUGGUAUCUACCUUUUGAGUGGUUGAGAUGUGAAUAUUUGAUAAGAAUUGUGGUGUAGUGAAGGUUUUGGAGAUGCCUGUAUAUGCAUCAUGAUGGAUUUCUGCUAAUUAUUAAAUCUCAUAGAUUAGGGUUGCAUUGAAAUGGUAAUGUAUUGAACUAAAAUUCAAAGUAAGUCCAUACAAAAUUCUGCUGUAAAUCCAAGGUUGUUUUGUUAUCAAGUCUGCCAUGAUAGCAAAGACCUCUUGAAUCGUGAUCGAUUAUCAUGCAAUUUUGAUUUUUUUUCAUUUUCUGCAACACUGGUCCCAUUCAGUUUGGAAAUCUCUUGGUGUGUGCAAAGGUGAACAAGAUGCUUUAUCAGACACUUUAAUUAUGCUCUUUUGCAAGAAAUAAGAUGGGAACCUCAGAGAAUUAAUCCAAUACAAAAAUACAGCCUUGAUCAAAGUUGCCAACUAAUUGUGUACAAAUGCAGAAGUGUACUACUUCUAGCCCAGUUUUUUCCUUACUGUAUUAUGCAAAAAUUGUAAGAUAUACUUUGCAACUUUCUGUCUUGUAUCUAGCCUAUGCCUAAAAGACAGCAGGAGUAGAUGGUUGAGGAAAAAAGAAUGAGUUAUCUUCAGAUGAAUAAAGUAUUUCUCUUUCAAAAGAGAAAUAUUUUCAAUAUUUGGGAAUUGGGAAGCAGAUGAGAUACAUACUUACUUGACUGUGAAGAGAAGGCAUCAUCAUUCCUAAUAAAUCUGAUCCAUACCAUGGUCUCUUCAGAUAUCUGCUGAAUUGUUCGUAGAAUAUACACCACCCUUAUUUUACUAUGCAUUAUUGUUCAUGAAGCACUUGGUUGUGAGAUAGAGCCAGUUUUGAAAGAAGAGGAAUCUCUCUCUCUCUCUCUCUCUCUCUCUCUCUCUCUCUCUCUCUCUCUCUCUCUCUCUCUCUCUCUCUCUCUCUCUC